rnacentral:rRNA from 1 species
AACCUUUACACUGCACGACAGUGCGAUAGGGGGACUCCGAGUGCGAGGGCAUAGAGCCCUCGCUUUUGUACACCGUAAGGUGGUGUACGAAUAAGAACUGGGCAAGACCGGUGCCAGCCGCCGCGGUAAUACCGGCAGUUCGAGUGAUGGCCGAUCUUAUUGGGCCUAAAGCGUUCGUAGCUGGCCAGUCAAGUCUGUCGGGAAACCUGCCCGCUCAACGGGCAGCCGUCCGGCGGAAACUGAUUGGCUUGGGACCGGGAGACUCGAGGAGUACGUCCGGGGUAGGAGUGAAAUCCUGUAAUCCUGGACGGACUACCGAUGGCGAAAGCACCUCGAGAGAACGGAUCCGACAGUGAGGGACGAAAGCUGGGGUCUCGAACCGGAUUAGAUACCCGGGUAGUCCCAGCCGUAAACGAUGUCUGCUAGGUGUGGCACAGGCUACGAGCCUGUGCUGUGCCGUAGGGAAGCCUGAAGCAGACCGCCUGGGAAGUACGUCCGCAAGGAUGAAACUUAAAGGAAUUGGCGGGGGAGCAC